GCCGAGGUGGCAGAGCGGACUAAUCCGUUUGGCUUAACAGCCCCGGAGUCCAAACGCGACUGGCUCGAGACCGGUUUCUCCGGAAGGAGUGCUUGGGUUCGAAUCCCAACCUCGGCG
rnacentral:tRNA from 1 species